AACUCGACUACAUGAAGCUGGAAUCGCUAGUAAUCGCAGAUCAGAAUGCUGCGGUGAAUACGUUCCCGGGUCUUGUACACACCGCCCGUCACACCAUGGGAGUCGGAAAUGCCCGAAGCCGGUGACCAAACCAAUAAGGAAGGAGCCGUCGAAGGCAGGUCUGGUAACUGGGGUGAAGUCGUAACAAGGUACC
rnacentral:rRNA from 1 species